GGUUGCUGUGACAUCAUGACAGGUGCACCUGCUUCUUGGUGGCUGGAUUACGCGAUCUCAGACUAUGUGAGGACAUACCGAGACUGGAAAUGACAGCACUGCCCCCUGCCCAGCCAGCAGGAGUGAUCCAAAGGCAUCAGAUCAGCCUGACCCUCACUCUCUACCCAGUCAUCUACAUCCUGAAUAUUCUCAUCUUUGUGAAGACUUAUACUAGACCUGGCAAGCUUACGUGAGGUUUGACAUGCCUCCCCAAACCCCUGUACAAAAUAUUAAAACCAUGUGGACAGAAACACGUAAAUAGAAAGCUAAUUCUUCCAUGUAUUUGGCAGACUAAGUAAAGGCUAUGCAAAUGCUCUCUGACCUCCCAGCUGAGAGCAAGCAUGAAGAAGAUGGUGCAGACUGAGCCCGAGGCCUGGGUCCUGCCAUUUUCCCUUCAGCUUACACGGGACACUGUGAGCACAAAAGACUUUUCGGCUCAGCUGAUACCGGCACGUGCAGAAAUGUGUUUCCCCUUCCUCUCUCUGCCUCCCCUCCCAGCCCUGGACUCCUGCUCUCCUGCCUGGUGCUUAUCGGAGCUUCAUGUGGUGACAUCACAGGGUGCUGAGUGCGGUCAAGGGCUGAGCACGGAUGUAGGACAUACUGCCCUGUCCUUUCUGCCCGCUUUCCAGUGACCAGAGCGAGUGCAUGUGAAGGCUACUGCUGCUUGUAGCUGGACUGGAAGCUGUGGGCCUGUAUACACACCUCAGAUGUGACCUAUGCAGUAUGGGGCUGACGCGUGAGGACAGCGAUGUGAUGGUGGCAUGGACCAGGCAUGUGUCAACAGCUCAGGUUGGAGGGUUUUUUAAUCCAGUGUCUUCAAUUUUCAUGCGACUGACCGGAAUGGGCAGGAACCUGCCUGCUGUAACCUCUUGAACUGAUAGAGUUUGUAUGUCGAGACUGAAUGAAACGACUGUGGACCGAGCAGGCACGUGCACCAUGGACAGUCACAGUUUAACAUCUCAUGUUUCACUGUCACAAGCUAGACCUGAAAAUGUUCGAAUAAAUCCUUUUAUGAUUACGUUUA